GACGAACGCUGGCGGCGUGCCUAAUACAUGCAAGUCGAACGCAGUGGGGACGGGUGAGUAACACGUGGGUAACCUCCCAUCAGAGGGGAUAACACUUGGAAACAGGUGCUAAACCGAUACUGAUGGAUGGACCCGCGGUGCAGUGGCUAGUUGGUGAGGUAACGGCUCGCCAAGGCCACGAUGCAUAGCCGACCUGAGAGGGGGAGAGGCCACACUGGGACAGAGACACGGCCCAGAAGCCGACGGUAGGCGGCAGUGGGGAAUAUUGGACAAUGGGCGCAAGCCUGAUGCAGCCAUGCCGCGUGUGUGAAGAGGGCCUUCGGGUUGUAAAGCACUGUCAGCGGGGAGGCGUUACCCGCAGAAGAAGCACCGGCUAACUCCGUGCCAGCAGCCGCGGUAAUUC
rnacentral:rRNA from 1 species